ACCGAAUGGGGGGAUAUUCUGGAAUGAAUUUUCCCUUAAAGAUUUACGCCUAAGGAUGAGUUGGCGGCCGAUUAGGUUGUUGGUGGUGUAAAGGACCACCAAGCCAGCGAUCGGUAGAGGCCUUGAGAGAGGUAGCCUCGAGAAGGGCACUGAGACACAGGCCCUAGCCCUACGGGGUGCAGCAGGCGCGAAACCUUUACAAUGCACGAAAGUGUGAUAAGGUAACUCUAAGUGCUUAUCUUAUGGUAGGCUUUUGCCAAGAGUAAAUAUCUUGGCGAAUAAGUGGUGGGUAAGACUGGUGCCAGCCGCCGCGGUAACACCAGCGCCACAAGUGGGAAUCGUAAUUAUUGGGCCUAAAGCGUCCGUAGCCGGCUUAUCAAGUCUUUUGUGAAAUCGUUGAGUUGAGCUUAACGGCGUGCAAAAGAAACUGUUAAGCUUGGAACCGGGAGGAGUCAGAGGUAUUUUUGAGGUAGCGGUAAAAUGUUAUAAUCUCAAAAGGACCACCGGUGGCGAAAGCGUCUGACUAGAACGGAUUCGACGGUGAGGGACGAAAGCCAGGGGAGCAAUCCGGAUUAGAUACGGGAAGAGUUCUAAAUAAUCGUCUGGAGUUAACUCGUAAGAUUGUUAUAUCACUACUUUACGAGGUAAUG
rnacentral:rRNA from 1 species